UACGGAGGGUGCAAGCGUUGUUCGGAAUUAUUGGGCGUAAAGCGCGCGCAGGCGGCCUGAAAAGUCUAUGGGUGAAAUGCCGGGGCUCAACCCCGUGCGUGCCCAGGAUACUGUCAGGCUGGAGACACGUAGAGGCAAGCGGAAUUCCGGGUGUAGCGGUGGAAUGCGUAGAGAUCCGAAAGAACACCGGAGGCGAAGGCGGCUUGCUGGGCGUGAUCUGACGCUGAGGCGCGAAAGCGUGGGGAGCGAACAGG
rnacentral:rRNA from 1 species